rnacentral:rRNA from 1 species
AUGCCUUACACAUGCAAGUCGAACGGCAGCACGGGGGCAACACUGGUGGCGAGUGGCGAACGGGUGAGUAAUAAAUCGGAACGUGCCCAGUAGUGGGGGAUAACCAGUCGAAAGAUUGGCUAAUACCGCAUACGACCUACGGGUGAAAGCGGGGGAUCGCAAGACCUCGCGCUAUCGGAGCGGCCGAUUUCCGAUUAGCUAGUUGGUGAGGUAAAAGCUCACCAAGGCGACGAUCGGUAGCUGGUCUGAGAGGACGGCCAGCCACACUGGGACUGAGACACGGCCCAGACUCCUACGGGAGGCAGCAGUGGG